GCUUCGUCUGCAUGUCUAAUCAAACUUUUAUGGACCGGCUAUGUUUUUCAAGUUUCAAAGGCAAAACGAGACCGUUUUGAGUUGAAGUUGCAUAAAUUAUGCCAUGUUAAUCCAACAAGUUAGUUUGUCCAAUUUGUCAAUCUCGCUAUAAAUAAAUUAAUAAUUUAUUAAUUAAAUAUUAAUAAAUUAAUUAGGAAGGAAUAUGAUAGGAAGAUAAUCA
rnacentral:misc_RNA from 1 species